UGACAGACGACAAAGCCAUGAGGAAGCCGAU
rnacentral:piRNA from 1 species